UGGGGAAUAUUGCACAAUGGGCGCAAGCCUGAUGCAGCCAUGCCGCGUGUGUGAAGAAGGCCUUCGGGUUGUAAAGCACUUUCAGCGAGGAGGAAGGUGGUGGACUUAAUACGUUCAUCAAUUGACGUUACUCGCAGAAGAAGCACCGGCUAACUCCGUGCCAGCAGCCGCGGUAAUACGGAGGGUGCAAGCGUUAAUCGGAAUUACUGGGCGUAAAGCGCACGCAGGCGGUUUGUUAAGUCAGAUGUGAAAUCCCCGGGCUCAACCUGGGAACUGCAUUUGAAACUGGCAAGCUAGAGUCUCGUAGAGGGGGGUAGAAUUCCAGGUGUAGCGGUGAAAUGCGUAGAGAUCUGGAGGAAUACCGGUGGCGAAGGCGGCCCCCUGGACGAAGACUGACGCUCAGGUGCGAAAAGCGUGGGGAGCAAACAGAUUAGAUACCCUGGUAGUCCACGCUGUAAAACGAUGUCGAUUUUGGAGGUUGUGCCCCUUGAGGCGUGG
rnacentral:rRNA from 1 species